UUUGAUCCUGGGUUCAGGACGAACGGCUGGCGGCAUGCUUAUUACAUGCAAGUCGAACGGUGAGCCACUCUGCUUGCAGAGUGCGGAUGAGUGGCGAACGGGUGAGUAACACGUGGGAAAUCUGCCUAGGGGUGGGGGAUAACAUUCGGAAACGGAUGCUAAUACCGCAUAUCUUCAUAGACCGCAUGGUCUAUGAAUGAAAGACGGCUUUGCUGUCGCUCUUAGAUGAUCCCGCGGCGUAUUAGUUAGUUGGUGGGGUAAAGGCCUACCAAGACAAUGAUACGUAGCCGACCUGAGAGGGUGAUCGGCCACACUGGGACUGAGACACGGCCCAGACUCCUACGGGAGGCAGCAGUAGGGAAUCUUCCACAAUGGGUGCAAACCUGAUGGAGCAAUGCCGCGUGAAUGAAGAAGGUCUUCGGAUCGUAAAGUUCUGUUAUUAGUGAAGAACAAAUCGAGGAGUAACUGUCUCGAUUUUGACGGUAACUAACCAGAAAGUCACGGCUAACUACGUGCCAGCAGCCGCGGUAAUACGUAGGUGACAAGCGUUGUCCGGAAUUAUUGGGCGUAAAGGGAGCGCAGGCGGUUGGAAUAGUCUGAUGUGAAAGCCCACGGCUUAACCGUGGAAGGUCAUUGGAAACUGUCCAACUUGAAUGCAGAAGAGGUAAGUGGAAUUCCAUGUGUAGCGGUGAAAUGCGUAGAUAUAUGGAGGAACACCAGUGGCGAAGGCGACUUACUGGUCCGUAAUUGACGCUGAGGCUCGAAAGCGUGGGUAGCGAACAGGAUUAGAUACCCUGGUAGUCCACGCCGUAAACGAUGAGUGCUAAGUGUUGGAGGGUUUCCGCCCUCCAGUGCUGGAGUUAACGC
rnacentral:rRNA from 1 species